GAUUCUAAUUUCUUCUUUUUCCUUUUUCUUGCGUCUUCUCCUCUGUCUCUUUUACCUCUCUCAAACCCUCAUGGUUCAAAUGCUAAAUUGAAGGCCAAGGUUCGUGAAUCUCGCAACAAGGCAACAAGGAAACGUGAUCUACGGACAAAGGGCUGCGCAUUUAUCCGAACAAAAUUUCAAUCGGUCAAAUUUCGGGAUUUCAACAUUUUGGGGGUUUUCAUCUUUGAGGUUCGAAAGGCAAGGAUACGCUUUGAUGGACACGGUGAUGGAGAUAUCUUUUGUGCUUUGGCGAGUCGAUCUGCAUGAUAUUUUAUUGGGUCUUAAAAGCUAUCUUUGGACUAUAUGUAUAUGUUUUUGACUUUGAGAAUGUAAUGAUAAAUGUUAAAUUCCCCUCUAGAAAUGCUUGUUAUGUCUUUUAGACAAGGAAGAAGGAAAACUUGUUCCUCCUUUUGUAAUUGGAGUUGUAUGGUUUAAGUGGUGUUUUGGGUGCCUUGGUGGCUAAUCAAAAAAAAAAAAAAUUGAAAUGUUUGGAA